UUAUUCAAAUUUGAAAAACGUUCCGUUACAACUCAAUCGUUAAGAGACGUUUGGGUAAACGACAAGAAAGAAGACGAGAGAUAUUUUGUGUUAUUAAUUUAUUUUCGAUUAGGAAAUUGUUCCGAGGAGAAAUGGAAGAAAAGUUCUAGGCCAUUCAAAGUAUAAAGUUAUUAACGUGCAAUAUGAAAAGAAUUGAAGACCUAUAAAUACCAACUGUCGUCCGUCAAUUCUUUCUUAAUAUCCAGAACGGAGUUAGAUGAAAGACGAGAGCAGAUAUGGAAUCCUUAGAAGCAGGAGGUUGCCUCUAAGGAUUACUUGUAUAUGAAAUUCCGCUGCAAACCGGAAGUUACGCUAUUUUGAUUCAAAAGUUUUCCCCCGAAAGCAGUUAUAGACGAUCGGCACGACUCUAUUGUUAAAAGAAAAGAAUGAUGUACGGGGGCACUGCUAAUUGCAGGUUUAAACAAUCAGAAGUCAAGAAAUGGGAAGUAUCGAUGUGGCAGUUGCGAAAAAGAAUUCGUUUCGAAAAAUGGGUUAAAAUAUCAUCGAAGGAUUCACACUGGAGAGAAACUCUUUGCCUGUGAUCACUGCAAACAACGUUUUACACUAAAAAGAAACCUGAUUCUACAUCUUCGAACUCACACGGGAGAGAAACCAUUCUCUUGUGACCAUUGCAAACGACGUUUUACGCAAAAACAUCGUCUGAUAGAACAUCUUCGUCUUCACACCGGAGAGAAACCAUUCUCGUGUGAUCAUUGCUUACAAAAAUUUCGUGUUAAAGCUUAUUUAAAGUAUCAUAUUAUUAAACAUCAUAAUAGUAAUGAAUAAUGACUUUUGUGGAAAUGAUUUUAGUACAUUUCUUUGAAAAAUAUGUAAUACUCGUAUUUUAGAUUUUAUUGAACAUGAAACAAGAAAUUUCUAAAGUUUGAUUUUUUUCGUUUUGUAACUUUCAU
rnacentral:lncRNA from 1 species